rnacentral:rRNA from 1 species
CUCCUUUGAAGUUAGCGGCGGACGGGUGAGUAACGCGUGGGUAACCUACCUAUAAGACUGGGAUAACUUCGGGAAACCGGAGCUAAUACCGGAUAACAUUUAGAACCGCAUGGUUCUAAAGUGAAAGAUGGUUUUGCUAUCACUUAUAGAUGGACCCGCGCCGUAUUAGCUAGUUGGUAAGGUAACGGCUUACCAAGGCGACGAUACGUAGCCGACCUGAGAGGGUGAUCGGCCACACUGGAACUGAGACACGGUCCAGACUCCUACGGAAGGCAGCAG